GUGGGGAAUUUUGGACAAUGGGCGAAAGCCUGAUCCAGCCAUGCCGCGUGCAGGAUGAAGGCCUUCGGGUUGUAAACUGCUUUUGUACGGAACGAAAAGACUCUGGUUAAUACCUGGGGUCCAUGACGGUACCGUAAGAAUAAGCACCGGCUAACUACGUGCCAGCAGCCGCGGUAAUACGUAGGGUGCAAGCGUUAAUCGGAAUUACUGGGCGUAAAGCGUGCGCAGGCGGUUUUGUAAGACAGAGGUGAAAUCCCCGGGCUCAACCUGGGAACUGCCUUUGUGACUGCAAGGCUAGAGUACGGCAGAGGGGGAUGGAAUUCCGCGUGUAGCAGUGAAAUGCGUAGAUAUGCGGAGGAACACCGAUGGCGAAGGCAAUCCCCUGGGCCUGUACUGACGCUCAUGCACGAAAGCGUGGGGAGCAAACAGGAUUAGAAACCCGUGUAGUCC
rnacentral:rRNA from 1 species